rnacentral:rRNA from 1 species
GUAGGGUGCGAGCGUUAAUCGGAAUUACUGGGCGUAAAGCGUGCGCAGGCGGUUCGUCAAGUCUGAUGUGAAAUCCCCGGGCUCAACCUGGGAACUGCAUUGGAUACUAGCGAGCUUGAGUGUGGCAGAGGGGGGUGGAAUUCCACGUGUAGCAGUGAAAUGCGUAGAGAUGUGGAGGAACACCGAUGGCGAAGGCAGCCCCCUGGGCUAACACUGACGCUCAGGCACGAAAGCGUGGGGAGCAAACAGGAUUAGAUACCCUGGUAGUCCACGCCCUAAACGAUGUCAACUGGGUGUUGGGGGAGCGAUUCCUCAGUACCGUAGCUAACGCGUGAAGUUGACCGCCUGGGGGAGUACGGCCGCAAGGUUA